UACGUAGGGUGCAAGCGUUAAUCGGAAUUACUGGGCGUAAAGCGUGCGCAGGCGGUUGUGCAAGGCAGGUGUGAAAUCCCCGGGCUUAACCUGGGAACUGCACUUGUGACUGCACGGCUGGAGUACGGCAGAGGGGGAUGGAAUUCCGCGUGUAGCAGUGAAAUGCGUAGAUAUGCGGAGGAACACCAAUGGCGAAAGCAGGUGACUGGACUCGUAUUGACACUCAUCCACGAAAGCUAGGGGAGCAAACAGG
rnacentral:rRNA from 1 species